AGUGAACGCUGGCGGCAGGCCUAACACAUGCAAGUCGAACGGCAGCACAGAGGAGCUUGCUCCUUGGGUGGCGAGUGGCGGACGGGUGAGGAAUACAUCGGAAUCUGCCUUGUUGUGGGGGAUAACGUAGGGAAACUUACGCUAAUACCGCAUAAGACCUUAGGGUGAAAGCGGAGGACCUUCGGGCUUCGCGCGACAAGAUGAGCCGAUGUCGGAUUAGCUAGUUGGCGGGGAAUGGCCCACCAAGGCGACGAUCCGUAGCUGGUCUGAGAGGAUGAUCAGCCACACUGGAACUGAGACACGGUCCAGACUCCCACGGAGGCAGCAGUGGGAAUNUUGGACAAUGGGCGCAAGCCUGAUCCACGCCA
rnacentral:rRNA from 1 species